UACGUAGGUGGCGAGCGUUGUCCGGAUUUACUGGGCGUAAAGAGCGCGCAGGCGGUCGUCCAAGUCGCGUGUGAAAGCCCCCGGCUCAACUGGGGAGGGUCACGCGAUACUGAUCGACUCGAAGGCAGGAGAGGGAAGCGGAAUUCCAGGUGUAGCGGUGAAAUGCGUAGAUAUCUGGAGGAAUACCGGUGGCGAAGGCGGCAUCCUGGACCAUUACUGACGCUGAAUCGCGAAAGCUAGGGGAGCAAACGGG
rnacentral:rRNA from 1 species